AACACUUAAUUUUGGUGAAAAAAAAGUGGUGUUUUUAGCCAUUGCCCCGCUAACUUUACGGAGGUCCAGAAGAGUACCAGUGGGAUUAUUGGGUCUACACGGAAUAAGGAUUGGUUAGCGGGCGGGUGUCUUUUCUUUUAUGCGGUAGGAUCGUUUACCAAUUUGUAUCGACAGAUUACAAGAGUCAAAGAUGACAAUCAUGAAUUGAUGACUCAUCAUGAGUUAUCUUCAAAUACUGUCAAUGCAACCGAGAAGUUAGACUUCAAUAUGAUUCAGUAUUUUGAAGAUCAUGUGAAUCCUUUCGCAUCAGGAUCAGAGCCUUCACGCAAUAUUGCAACCCAGGAGCUGGUCGCAAGACAAGACGUGCAAACUAUACUCAACGUUUAUUCUCGCAGUUGGGAGAUUUUUCAAAAAUAUUGCACCGAAACAUUUCCAGAAAAAAUCCGUUUCAAUCUCGUCCACGAUUCCACGAGUCAAUUUCUCAGCUUUCCAACAGAUCGAGAAGAAUUCCCCGAAGAGCACCCCAAAAUCACUCCUUAAGGAUACUAAAUCGGCCCAGCGUAUGAUCGAUUUAGCAAAAGAAAGAAAUUAUUCUAUGGAUAAGCUGUUUUCCUAUGAAUUCUCUGAUUAUAGUGCUUUAUUCGAGACGGACGUUGAAAAAAGAGAAGAGUAAAGGACUGCUCACCAAUGAAUUACGGUAUUAGGAGAUGAGAAAUGGAGUUUAUCGCCAGAUUCUGACGAACUAACUGCCGUUGUCGAUGUCAUGCUGAAUUUAUAAAAAUUAAAAUGGAAUAAGAAAGAUACAUUCAAGGAUUUAGCUGACCAAUUUUGCAAAUCAUUAACUUCAGCAACAACAAUUCCGUUUACCCAAAUUGACUUCGUUUUUUAUUCUUACUGGGAUCAAUCUCCAAAGUCUGCAGAACGUUGUCGUCGAGGUUCAUCAUCUAAGUCCAUUACAAUGCAUGAAAUAUCUGGAGAUAUCAAACUCCCAGUCAUUCCAGAUUAAUUUUGGAGUAAUAAAAACAAUAAAAUAAAAAUUCAGCAAUUCUUAAGCGCUUACAUAUUGGAAAAUUGCGAGUCAGUAUGGCCUGGGGUGCAAGUAAUUUUCAGUGCAACAGAUGAAGACCCACCUCUAUCUUACAAACAUCUAUCUAUGGAAUCGGUUGCCAUGUUAAUGACAAAGGACAUCGAAGAAGCUGAUGUAUGGAUCUUCGUGCACAUUGAUCAUGCUGUGAGGCAAAGGCGAAAGAAAAUUUUCAUAUUAUCGUGUGAUACUGAUGUUUUCGUUCUUGUUCUUCAUUACUAUGGAUUUUUCAAAGAAAACGACUUGGUGGAACUCUGGAUGACUGUUGGAUCUGGGUUGACGAAAAGGACUGUACCUCUUCACAUUGUUUCUUCUCGAACUCCAUCUGAUUUAUGUCAAGUCCUCCCAGCUAUGCAUCAUCUAACUGGCUCUGACUACACAAGUAAAGUUGGAAGGGGAGAGUAAUGUGCAUUGAAAGCCAACCCAGAAAAAUAUUUAUCUCGGUUUGCAUGCGGUAUUUCCACUGAAGAUAUUGAGGAGUCAAUACGCGAUGCUGAAGACCAUUUGAUACAGACAUGGAAAACAGAUUCAUCUUGGAGAACAUUUGACGAGUUGCGGUGCUGGGCCUACCAUUAUUCCUCAAAAUUUUCUAUUUCUGAAUUGCCUCCAACUUCUGCAUCGAUUCGACUUCACAUUUUGCGUGCCUUUUAUGUCACUUAUGAGCAGCUAAAGUGUCUUGAUAGAAGCAGAGAAAAAUUGGAGGCCACUCUCUUUGGGUUCAGUGUGGAAAAUGGCAGCUUGAAGCCAAUUUCUGUCAAAAUUUUCUUCCCACCAAUUUCAGAACUUAUUUCAAGUUACAAUUGUAAAGCAUGUGCACGAAUGACUUGCAUGUGUCGCAGCAAAGGCGUUCCCUGCAUUUCUUAUUGUGUUUGUUCGAUGCAUGUUUGUGGGAACCCAAUAAAAAAAGAUUGAAAAAUUAUAUUAAUUUAUUUGAACAAA